UAGGGAAUCUUCCACAAUGGGCGCAGACCUGAUGGAGCAACACCGCGUGAGUGAAGAAGGGUUUCGGCUCGUAAAGCUCUGUUGUUAAAGAAGAACACGUAUGAGAGUAACUGUUCAUACGUUGACGGUAUUUAACCAGAAAGUCACGGCUAACUACGUGCCAC
rnacentral:rRNA from 1 species